rnacentral:rRNA from 1 species
UUAGAGUUUGAUCCUGGCUCAGGACGAACGCUGGCGGCGUGCCUAACACAUGCAAGUCGAGCGAAUGAAGUUCCUUCGGGAAUGGAUUUAGCGGCGGACGGGUGAGUAACACGUGGGCAACCUGCCUCAUAGAGGGGAAUAGCCUUCCGAAAGGGAAAUUAAUACCGCAUAAGAUUGUAGCACCGCAUGGUACAGCAAUUAAAGGAGCAAUCCGCUAUGAGAUGGGCCCGCGGCGCAUUAGCUAGUUGGUGAGGUAACGGCUCACCAAGGCGACGAUGCGUAGCCGACCUGAGAGGGUGAUCGGCCACAUUGGGACUGAGACACGGCCCAGACUCCUACGGGAGGCAGCAGUGGGGAAUAUUGCACAAUGGGGGAAACCCUGAUGCAGCAACGCCGCGUGAGUGAUGACGGCCUUCGGGUUGUAAAGCUCUGUCUUCAAGGAAGAUAAUGACGGUACUUGAGGAGGAAGCCCUGGCUAACUACGUGCCAGCAGCCGCGGUAAUACGUAGGGGGCUAGCGUUAUCCGGAUUUACUGGGCGUAAAGGGGUGCGUAGGCGGUCUUUUAAGUCAGAAGUGAAGGGCUACGGCUUACCCGUAGUAAGCUUUUGAAACUGAAGGACUUGAGUGCAGGAAAGGAGAGGGGAAUUCCUAGUGUAGCGGGGAAAUGCGUAAAUAUUUAGGAGGAACCCCGGUGGGGAAAGGCGGUUUUUCGGGUUAACAACUGACGCUAAGGCGGCGAAAGGGGGGGGGAACAAAACAGGAAUAAAAAUCCC